AGCUUGGUACUAUUUUUUCUACCUCCAACUGACCAGUAUACAGAGUAGUACUUGCGAGGGUUUUUAGCAGCAAAGGUGAUUUAAAACUUAUCUCGAGCCUGGUUGUCAUGGAUCAAAUCAAAGCAGAAAGCAGCCAGCAGCAGUGGGACGGUUGACCAAACUGAUCAGCAAAUGCCCAAAAUACACAACUCAUUCAGCAUGAAAAGAUAAGUUCGCAAGGUCAGGAAAAUUGUCAUGGGGUCAAAGUGUCUCGCUUAGAUGUACUACUCAUCACUAUAGUAAUUGAAUUUUUAAUAGAAUGCGGAG
rnacentral:lncRNA from 1 species